AAAUACCAUUUUGUGUGUCAGGAUGUUUUGCUGGUUUAUACAGUGGCACCCUGAUAUUUUCCAUAUUGUUUUCUAGACUUUUUCACAAGCAGGGUAAUGUUUUACUUGCUUUUAUAUCCAAUUCCCACUGAAUGGAAGUUUUUCAUGUGCUGUCACUCCCACCUCCACUCCACCCCUCUAGUUCAUGAGCAAGUUUACUGAGCUCACCAGCAGCUCAUGUUUAUUUUCUUAUCUUAAGUUAGAGUGUGAAAUUAAAACACUUGAUUUGUCCUUGGCAAGUUUAAAUGAGUAUUAUUUAUACAGCACCGUAGGGGUCCGUAGCUCUUUGCGAGCAAAAAGAAACUGAAAUACCAUGGCAUGGGGUGAUGCACUGCCAGGGGCUUGCCAACACUCAUAGUGGGCACAAUGGAGCAAAUAGGGACAGAGAUUGCUUAGCUUGACUUGGUGCUUUGUGGCUCUGUGUUUUGCUCCUCACAGCUGGUCUGUCAAACCAGGACAUUUCACUAGAAAGACAUCAGUAUCCUUGUGUUAUUUGGGGCAUGGCCACUGAUGAGACUUUGCAGAACAUCUUAGUGCUGGGUAUAUUUCUGGCACCGGCUCUCACAAAUGUUGCCAGCCAAGUUUUACGACACUUCGUUGGGCUAUUGCCAGCAGCCAGGUCACAGCGUCAUGGAUCUCCAGGUAGAAAAACUGCCUUUAUACACCUCUGGAGAAUGCCUUCCCCUGCACGCUUUCUGCUGCUGAAAGAGGGAGACACUUCUUAAUACAUCACUGCAAGAAGCUCAGAUACUCCCAUGACAAAUAUGAUUUUGGAGUGCAUACAAAAUCAAAUAGGAUAAAUAAACCAUAAGCCAAGCA